AUUGAACGCUGGCGGCAGGCCUAACACAUGCAAGUCGAGCGGAUGAAGGGAGCUUGCUCCUGGAUUCAGCGGCGGACGGGUGAGUAAUGCCUAGGAAUCUGCCUGGUAGUGGGGGAUAACGUCCGGAAACGGGCGCUAAUACCGCAUACGUCCUGAGGGAGAAAGUGGGGGAUCUUCGGACCUCACGCUAUCAGAUGAGCCUAGGUCGGAUUGGCUAGUUGGUGGGGUAAAGGCCUACCAAGGCGACGAUCCGUAACUGGUCUGAGAGGAUGAUCAGUCACACUGGAACUGAUACACGGUCCAGACUCCUACGGGAGGCAGCAGUGGGGAAUAUUGGACAAUGGGCGAAAGCCUGAUCCAGCCAUGCCGCGUGUGUGAAGAAGGUCUUCGGAUUGUAAAGCACUUUAAGUUGGGAGGAAGGGCAGUAAGUUAAUACCUUGCUGUUUUGACGUUACCAACAGAAUAAGCACCGGCUAACUUCGUG
rnacentral:rRNA from 1 species